rnacentral:rRNA from 1 species
GGAGGAAUAUUGGUCAAUGGGCGCAGGCCUGAACCAGCCAAGUCGCGUGAGGGAGGACGGUCCUACGGAUUGUAAACCUCUUUUGUCGGGGAGUAACGUGCGGGACGCGUCCCGUAUUGAGAGUACCCGAAGAAAAAGCAUCGGCUAACUCCGUGCCAGCAGCCGCGGUAAUACGGGGGAUGCGAGCGUUAUCCGGAUUCAUUGGGUUUAAAGGGUGCGUAGGCGGCUUUGCAAGUCAGCGGUGAAAGGCCCGGGCUCAACCCGGAAAGUGCCGUUGAUACUGUGAGGCUGGAAUGCGGAUGCUGUGGGAGGAAUGAGUGGUGUAGCGGUGAAAUGCAUAGAUAUCACUCAGAACACCGAUUGCGAAGGCAUCUCACAAAUCCGCAAUUGACGCUGAGGCACGAAAGCGUGGGAAUCGAACAGGAUUAGAUACCCUGGUAGU